rnacentral:rRNA from 1 species
UUCUUGGUCAUUUAGAGGAAGUAAAAGUCGUAACAAGGUUUCCGUAGGUGAACCUGCGGAAGGAUCAUUAAAGAAAUUUAAUAAUUUUGAAAAUGGAUUUUUUUGUUUUGGCAAGAGCAUGAGAGCUUUUACUGGGCAAGAAGACAAGAGAUGGAGAGUCCAGCCGGGCCUGCGCUUAAGUGCGCGGUCUUGCUAGGCUUGUAAGUUUCUUUCUUGCUAUUCCAAACGGUGAGAGAUUUCUGUGCUUUUGUUAUAGGACAAUUAAAACCGUUUCAAUACAACACACUGUGGAGUUUUCAUAUCUUUGCAACUUUUUCUUUGGGCAUUCGAGCAAUCGGGGCCCAGAGGUAACAAACACAAACAAUUUUAUCUAUUCAUUAAAUUUUUGUCAAAAACAAGAAUUUUCGUAACUGGAAAUUUUAAAAUAUUAAAAACUUUCAACAACGGAUCUCUUGGUUCUCGCAUCGAUGAAGAACGCAGCGAAAUGCGAUACGUAAUGUGAAUUGCAGAAUUCCGUGAAUCAUCGAAUCUUUGAACGCACAUUGCGCCCCUUGGUAUUCCAGGGGGCAUGCCUGUUUGAGCGUCAUUUCCUUCUCAAACAUUCUGUUUGGUAGUGAGUGAUACUCUUUGGAGUUAACUUGAAAUUGCUGGCCUUUUCAUUGGAUGUUUUUUUUCCAAAGAGAGGUUUCUCUGCGUGCUUGAGGUAUAAUGCAAGUACGGUCGUUUUAGGUUUUACCAACCGCGGCUAAUCUUUUUUUAUACUGAGCGUAUUGGAACGUUAUCGAUAAGAAGAGAGCGUCUAGGCGAACAAUGUUCUUAAAGUUUGACCUCAAAUCAGGUAGGAGUACCCGCUGAACUUAAGCAUAUCAAUAAGCGGAGGAA